rnacentral:rRNA from 1 species
UACAGAGGGUGCUAGCGUUGUUCGGAAUUACUGGGCGUAAAGGGCUCGUAGGCGGCCAACUAAGUCAGACGUGAAAUCCCUCGGCUUAACCGGGGAACUGCGUGUGAUACUGGAUGGCUUGAGUUUGGGAGAGGGAUGCGGAAUUCCAGGUGUAGCGGUGAAAUGCGUAGAUAUCUGGAGGAACACCGGUGGCGAAGGCGGCAUCCUGGACCAACACUGACACUGAGGAGCGAAAGCCAGGGGAGCAAACGGG